rnacentral:rRNA from 1 species
AACGAACGCUGGCGGCAGGCCUAACACAUGCAAGUCGAACGGUAACAGGUCUUCGGAUGCUGACGAGUGGCGAACGGGUGAGUAAUACAUCGGAACGUGCCUAGUAGUGGGGGAUAACUACUCGAAAGAGUGGCUAAUACCGCAUGAGAUCUACGGAUGAAAGCAGGGGAUCGCAAGGCCUUGUGCUACUAGAGCGGCCGAUGGCAGAUUAGGUAGUUGGUGGGAUAAAAGCUUACCAGGCCGACGAUCUGUAGCUGGUCGGAGAGGACGAUCGGCCACACUGGGACUGCGACACGGCCCAGACUCCUGCGGGAGGCAGAAGUGGGGAAUUUUGGACAAUGGGCGCAAGCCUGGUUCAGCAAUGCCGCGUUCAGGAUGAAGGCCUUCGGGUUGUAAACUGCUUUUGUACGGAACGAAAAGCCCUGGGUUAAUACCCUGGGGUCAUGACGGUACCGUAAGAAUAAGCACCGGCUAACUACGUGCCAGCAGCCGCAGUAA